GUGGGGAAUAUUGCGCAAUGGGCGAAAGCCUGACGCAGCGACGCCGCGUGGGUGAUGAAGGCCUUCGGGUCGUAAAACCCUGUCGGGUGGAACGAAUUCUCACCUCUCUAAUACAGGGGUGAGUUGACGGUACCACCGAAGGAAGCCCCGGCUAACUACGUGCCAGCAGCCGCGGUAAUACGUAGGGGGCCAGCGUUGUUCGGAUUUACUGGGCGUAAAGCGCGCGUAGGUGGUUCGAUAAGUCGGAGGUGAAAUCCCUCGGCUCAACCGAGGACCCGCGUCCGAUACUGUCGAACUUGAGUGCAGGAGAGGAGAGCGGAAUUCCCAGUGUAGCGGUGAAAUGCGUAGAUAUUGGGAGGAACACCGGUGGCGAAGGCGGCUCUCUGGACUGUUACUGACACUGAGGCGCGAAAGCUAGGGGAGCAAACGGGAUUAGAAACCCUAGUAGUCC
rnacentral:rRNA from 1 species